ACGCUCGACACCUACGGUAGGCAGCAGUGGGGAAUAUUGCACAAUGGGGGAAACCCUGAUGCAGCGACGCCGCGUGAGCGAAGAAGUAUUUCGGUAUGUAAAGCUCUAUCAGCAGGGAAGAAACUGACGGUACCUGACUAAGAAGCACCGGCUAAAUACGUGCCGGCAGCCGCGGUAAUCUGAGCGGCUGGCAAGGC
rnacentral:rRNA from 1 species